ensembl:miRNA
GAGCGUGGGAGGAUCUCUUGAGUGUGGGAGGUCAAGGCUGCAGUGAGCUGUGAUCAUACCACUGCACUCCAGCCUGGGUGACACAGCAAGACCCUGUCU